CUUGCGGAGGAUUAUGAGGACUCCCUGGUCUCCGUAAAGACAGGACUACUGACCCCUCUCGUCGCGCCAAUCACCCGCGGAUCAGUGCCCUCGUCUCUCCAGUUGGGAACCAGACCUCCCAGAUCACCAACCUCAAUGGGCCGGCCCACCUCCUUACCAUGGAGACAGCGGUUGGCCCCCAGCUGGGGUAGAUUUACUGCCCCCGACCCGCUGCAGUAUCAGCAGCGGGACAGACCGCUAACCCCAGUGCCUUCUGCCCCGAUUGUCUGUUUUAGGUGCCAUGAGCCUGGACACAUCGCCCGCUUGUGCCCCGCGGCAAUGGAGUGCAACGUGGCGACAUGUUAUCUGGCAUCUGAAGCAGACGGCUGAUUCGAAGCCGGAGCUGUAGGGAGAAGCCAGCCCGGACCUGAACGCACACGAGCACCAGCACUAGCACUCAGAGCACCGCACCUGCACCAGAGCACACUGUCUGGAGACGUGUGGUUGUGACUGUAUUUCUUGUUUUGUGUGUUGGAAUUAUUAUUUCGGGACUGCAACCCCCCUUUUGUUUUGUCGCUGGCAAUACCCAUUGCUGGGUAGAGCCAGCUUUAUUAUUUGAGUCCAGUUUUCGCUGGCAAUACCCAUUGCUGGGUAGAGCCAGCUUUAUUAUUUGAAUCCUCGUCAAGGAACAUUAAAGAAACCUGACCUGUGAA